rnacentral:misc_RNA from 1 species
AGCCUUCUUUGUAUUUGGUUGAUGUCUUCUUUCCUUUUUUUUUUCUUCUUCUUCUUCACUUCAGCAACACCACCUAAAACUACAGAUGGUUGCACUUCAUCAAUAAUGUCAAGGUCCCAUAUUUCAAUUGAAGGUUCCAUUGAACCCACAGCUACAAAAUUUCCUUUUUCUUCCCCCUUGAGUGGACAAUGAAGCCAUGCUGUACAAAGGGGGAAUGCUGACAGGACAAUAUCAUGAUGAACAUACAUGUUUGAAUCAUUAUCAACUGAUUCCUCAAAUAUCCAAACCUGCUUAUAUAUGAUAAGUACUUGAUCAGAGAAAGAGAGAGAGCAAUUUCCAACUAAAAUUUACAUGCCUCAAGGUGACUGAAUUCAUCCUCAUUACGAGCACAAACUAUGACUGCAUCCUUCGGUUUAAUGGUCAUGUCCUCAAGCUCUUCCCAAUCAUCAUCAUCUUUAUCCUUUAAAUAAGGGUCCAUAUCGUUGCUUGGAUAGUAAAGGUCCCAAAGUCCUGUGCUGAAUAGCUCAAUGCCUUCAUCCUCCUCAUCAUAAUGGUCCAUGUCAAGUUCCUUCAAGCCAUCGGUUAUGUCAUCAAAUUUGGUCACUGAGUUCUUAUUUUUAGUAGUUCCGCCAAGUGCAUCUGCUACAGCUAAUGCAUGGGUUACUUCAUCGGUCUGCUUGGCAGUAUCAACAUCCAUAUCUUCAUCGUUUUCCUCACUGCCACUAUCUCCACUUCUCUCUAAAGCACCAGCCUCUAUCAUUUCUUCAAUUUCCUCCUUGCAUGGUGGGUCUGCCACUGCUGGGACAGAUUUUGCAACCUCUUUGGGCACCCAUGAUACUGCCGCUAUCAUUCUUCAGUUCACAGCUACUAAUCAAUGGCGGCGCGCAG